GCGAGGGAUGACAGCCGCAGUGUGCGUCUCUGGACCGAGCGGCUGAUGAAGAGGAACCUGGUGACUGCAGGAACGUCCCAAUGCAGACAGACAAGAUGCGCACCAAAGAGCAGCAGAGGAGGCGAGCAGAAUGCCCUAAGGAGGUGUGAAGCAACGAGCGAAGCAGCAUAUCAGCACUGGAGGUGACUCGGGCUAGGUGGGGCGCAAGCGUCAGCGUGGCAACAUGUAAAUGGCAGAGGUGCCGCAGGGAGCUGUGGAAGGGCGAAGCCGCGUGCCAAUGAGCAGUCCAAGAAGGCGCUGUAUGGCCACGUUUGGGACCGGAUGCCCAUUUGAGGUGCCGCGAGGGAUGACAGCCACAGUGUGCGUCUCUGGACCGAGCGGGUGAUGAUGGAGGGCCCAGGCGACUGCAGGAACAUCCCAGUUAGCCGAUAUGCAGAGAGAGAAGAUGCACCCCAAAGAGCAGCAGAGGAGGGGAGCAGAGUGCCAUAGGAGGAAGGUGGGUCAGCCGGUGAUGUCAGAGGGAAGAUGUGGUUGGUGGCUAUAUGACUCCCUUCAGAUUUGUGUGUGGUUUUUAUUUUGAAGGCACGAAGCUGGAUAUGGACCCUGUAGGACAUGGACACGGGAGGUGACUCGGGCCAGGUGGGGCACAAGCAUGGCAGCCCAAAAUGACUGAGGCCAGGUGCGCAAGCGGCUGAUGUAAAGAAGGGGGAGGUGCCGCAGGGAGCCUCGGAGGGGCGAAGCCGCGUGCCGAUGAGCGGUCCCAGAAGGUGCUGUGUGGCCACCCCUUUGGAACCGGAUGCCCGUUUGAGUCUUAGGUGCCAUGAG